UACGAAGGGGGCUAGCGUUGCUCGGAAUCACUGGGCGUAAAGCGCACGUAGGCGGCUUUCUAAGUCAGGGGUGAAAUCCUGGAGCUCAACUCCAGAACUGCCUUUGAUACUGGAGAGCUUGAGUCCGGAAGAGGUGAGUGGAACUCCGAGUGUAGAGGUGAAAUUCGUAGAUAUUCGGAAGAACACCAGUGGCGAAGGCGGCUCACUGGUCCGGUACUGACGCUGAUGUGCGAAAGCCAGGGGAGCAAACGGG
rnacentral:rRNA from 1 species